rnacentral:rRNA from 1 species
ACGGGAGGCAGCAGUGAGGAAUAUUGGUCAAUGGACGGAAGUCUGAACCAGCCAAGUCGCGUGCGGGAGGAAGGCCCUACGGGUCGUAAACCGCUUUUGUACGGGGAUAAAGUCACCCACGUGUGGGUGUUUGUAGGUACCGUAAGAAUAAGGAUCGGCUAACUCCGUGCCAGCAGCCGCGGUAAUACGGAGGAUCCGAGCGUUAUCCGGAUUUAUUGGGUUUAAAGGGUGCGCAGGCGGGCUGCUAAGUCUCCGGUGAAAUGUCAGGGCUCAACCUUGGCACUGCCGGAGAUACUGGCGGCCUUGAGUACGGAUGAAGUUGGCGGAAUGUGAUGUGUAGCGGUGAAAUGCUUAGAUAUGUCACAGAACACCGAUUGCGAAGGCAGCUGACUAAUCCGCAACUGACGCUCAGGCACGAAAGCGUGGGGAUCGAACAGGAUUAGAUACCCUGGUA